GGCUGAGGCUGGAAGGGUAAGGUCACAGGAGAUGUAUGUGAGAGUAGGAAAACAUAGCCACGGGCAGCACUUAGUCACUUCCACUGCUGCCUGCCUGCAAUGGCUUACUCAUCUCAGGCAGCCCUACCACGCUCAGGGAGGAGAGGGAUCUAACCCACUUCCUCCAACACUUGGAGCAUACAACGUCUACACUGCCAUCUACUUCCUGUGACCACCGAGUUGACGCGCUCCCUCCUCUACCCACAACCUCCUUCAGACCAACUGCAGUCCUGUCUGCAGCCCACGCGGCUCUCCCGGGCCUGUCCCGCAGUCCUGCCUCCUUCUCUGCACGUGCACUCCAGCUACACAGUUUCCCAACGUAGGCCAGGCUGGCCUUGAAUUCGUGAUAAUCUUUCUGCUUCAGCUUCCCCAUCGUGAAGAAUACAGGCGCAAAUCGCAGUGGAGGCCAGGCUAGACUAAGUGAAAGACUGAGCCUUCUUUAAGGAGCAAGGAUUUAGGAAGCACCAAAUCUAAGGGGCUAAUCUGAGGGUGUCACCUAGCCCAGGCUGGCCUCAACAUUUUUAGCAGCAGAUAUGACUCAGCCCUUAUCAGCCUCCAUGAGUUUUCCCUGAGCUCCAGAGCGCUCUGCCCACUCAGAGGAUAUGGACCCUGAGACUCAGUGCAGCUCCCGAGAUCUGCGAAGGGCCCAUGGAGUCUCUAAAAAGCAGCCUUCCUUUUUCACAGCUGCAUCGUAUUGAGCCAACCCUGGUGUUUCCCAAGUGGGAAAAACUCACACACAAGGAUGUCCCCCCGGAGCAGCUGGUGGCGAGGCUUCACUUGUGAAGAGACUGUGUGUUUGUGUGUGUGUGUGUGUGGGGGGGGUGAUGCAGUGAGGUGGGAUUUAAGGAUUCAGUUAGAUGUGACAGUUGCACAAGCUCAGAGCCACCAGGGAGGGAGGGAGGGAGAGAGGGAGAGGGACAGAGACAUAGAGCUACCGCUGUGACCCUUCCCUAUGCCUGUCAAGCUCAAGCUAAACAGUCGUUCCACUGCCCUGAUCACUGCUGUCGUCCCACCCACCCCCAACCCUCCGCACAGUGCCUAAGCACAGUAGGUCUUCAAUAAAGCCUCAAAAACACAAUGCAAAAUGUGAAUUUAUGAAACAAGAGGAAAACGCCCGUGUUGCUGCAG